GCAAACUUGGUCAUUUAGAGGAAGUAAAAGUCGUAACAAGGUUUCCGUAGGUGAACCUGCGGAAGGAUCAUUACAAAAUAAGAAAGUGCCCCGGCGCUUUUUGGCAGCGCGGGGGGGCAACCCCCCGAACUGUUGAACCCUUUGUGAAAACCCUCUGUUGCCUCGGCGGCACUUCCCCCCUUCGCGGGGGGGAAGGUCAGUCCGCCGGCGGCACCCAACCAAAACCCAUAACCAUUUUGAAGAAGCUGUCUGAAACAUAAAGUCGAAUGACUAUAAAACUUUCAACAACGGAUCUCUUGGUUCCCGCAUCGAUGAAGAACGCAGC
rnacentral:misc_RNA from 1 species